rnacentral:sRNA from 1 species
UCUCGGAUGGCGUUAGAGCCGUCGGUGA